UAAAAACUUUCACAUUUAGCAUAUUGUUGUUGAAGUUUCUCUGAUUCUCCCUCAUUUUCUAAGUUUCCGCGAAGUUUCCUCUGUCUAUUCCAAAAAACUGCAGCAUUUCAAUUGGGACCAGACCAGACCCUAUCUGCAGGAAAAUCUGUUGAGGAAAUUAGUGCUGAUCCAUGCACUGCAGUUACGACUUACGAAGCAUGCGGUGAUGUAGAGAUUUUUGAAAGAGAAAGGAGAGCUCGUCGCCAACGCAAAUACAAAAGCAAAAAUGGGUCACGUCAACGUGGUUUGGUACGGCUAAUAUGUUGUUGGAGGUUGCUUUCGUUUUUCUCCUUUUGUGCA